GGAUUACUCCUUUACGCUUUCGCGUUUGGUUGAUAAAGAUUCGCACCUCUAUCAAACUGGGUAAUCCCACCUCUUGGCAAGACCUGCUGUCAGAUCAAAUCUGAACUACUACAAAUAAAUUGUGGUUUAUAACCGCAAUAUUGUUUCUUUCCUUAAUCCAAAGGAAAAAUAAUGUUGGUAACUUUUAUCAGCUAUUUAGUAA
rnacentral:sRNA from 1 species